GCUUGGUUCAUUGAAAACGUCACCGUGUGUCUGUAUCAGCAGGGACAUCCUGCUUUGGAAGAAGGCAUCAGGAAAAUGAAGGAUGCAAAUGGCACUCAGCGGUCGCCGGCCCGAUCCAAUCCCCUUGACCAGACAGAGCGUUCCCGCUACACAGGAGGAACCCAGCAGUCCGUUAGCACUCGGGCUCAGGCAAACAUGAGACGGAGGAGAUGGGAGCCAACAGUCCUCAUCAUCACAGCCUGUCCACUAGCUGAACAUCGCUAAAACCCUCAAAUUUAUGGAUAUGUGGACUCUAGUCCUCAGGUUAGUAGCAGGAACAAUUCUCGUCCUGAAGAUCCAAUUCCAAUCACAUCUCUAUAAUACCUUGACUGCUGUGAACUACAGAACAGAAUUCUGCUAGGAAGAAACAGAACUUAGCCAAAUGUCUACAGGGUCCAGGGGGGUAGAGGGAAGAAGCGAACAGACCAGGAGGGGCUGUGGGAAACCAGGAAGAACACGCGGAUGUCCCCCAGAUACAUGGCGGCAGCGCAAGGACAUCAUGGCACACGCACCACGCAUCCCAGGUCUGCCAGGAUUGCCAAGGAUUACAGACAUGUGGGCUUUAUGUGACGUAUCUUGUAAAAGGCUGGUGUUGUCUGGUUGUUAAGUACAAACAAACUAACCUAUCUUUGAUCUAAGCAUCUUCCAUCUCUAACCACUAACCCACCUUGGCCUUCUGCCCUGUGGUUUUGCUCUCUCACAAUCAGAAUCACAUCUGAGUUAAUGUCUGUAGAUCUAAGGUAACCACUAUUUUUCCCGAUGUUGCCUAAAGGCUUGUCAGAUAACAAUAUAAUGGCUACUAUGAGGUUGGGCAUCCACCUGUCAUCACACAGUCCGAACACAACAGAAACAUGUGGGUUGUGUCUAUGAAGGAAUCACUGAACCAUUUCACUUCGGGGUGGAUCUGGGGGUCCACAGUAACCCCAACAUCAAAGUCCUAUCUGCAGAUAUCUGACCUGUUGGGAUCAGGAGGCCAGAUAUAGGCAAAAGGUUGCAAAAGAAUGGCUCACAGCUCCUCACCCCAAAUAAAAGUUUCAUUUGGCCCACAAA